rnacentral:rRNA from 1 species
GCUCAGUAACACGUGGAUAACCUACCCUUAGGACUGGGAUAACCUUGGGAAACUGAGGAUAAUACUGGAUAGGCAAUUAUUCCUGCAAUGGUUUUUUGUUUAAAUGUUUUUUCGCCUAAGGAUGGGUCUGCGGCCGAUUAGGUAGUUGGUUAGGUAAUGGCUUACCAAGCCGUUGAUCGGUACGGGUUGUGAGAGCAAGAGCCCGGAGAUGGAACCUGAGACAAGGUUCCAGGCCCUACGGGGUGCAGCAGGCGCGAAACCUCCGCAAUGUGAGAAAUCGCGACGGGGGGAUCCCAAGUGCCAUUCUUAACGGGAUGGCUUUUCAUUAGUGUAAAGAGCUUUUGGAAUAAGGGCUGGGUAAGACGGGUGCCAGCCGCCGCGGUAAUACCUGCAGCCCGAGUGGUGGUCGAUUUUAUUGAGUCUAAAGCGUUCGUAGCCGGUCCGUUAAAUCCUUGGGUAAAUCGGGAAGCUCAACUUUCCGACUUCCGAGGAGACUGGCGGACUUGGGACCGGGAGAGGCCAGAGGUACUUCUGGGGUAGGGGUAAAAUCCUGUAAUCCUAGAAGGACCACCGGUGGCGAAGGCGUCUGGCUAGAACGGAUCCGACGGUGAGGGACGAAGCCCUGGGUCGCAAACGGGAUUAGAUACCCCGGUAGUCCAGGGUGUAAACGCUGCCGACUUGGUGUUGGGGGCCCUACGCGGGAACUCAGUGCCGGAGAGAAGUUGUUAAGUCGGCCACUUGGGGAGUACGUCCGCAAGGAUGAAACUUAAAGGAAUUGGCGGGGGAGCACCGCAACGGGAGGAGCGUGCGGUUUAAUUGGAUUCAACACCGGAAAACUCACCAAAGGCGACUGUUACAUGAAAGCCAGGCUAAUGACCUUGCUUGAUUUUCAGAGAGGUGGUGCAUGGCCGUCGUCAGUUCGUACCGUAAGGCGUUCUCUUAAGUGAGAUAACGAACGAGACCCUCACCGAUAAUUGCCAGUCCGAUCCCCGGAUCGGGCGCACAUUAUAGGGACCGCUGGCGCUAAGUCAGAGGAAGGAGAGGUCAACGGUAGGUCAGUAUGCCCCGAAUCUCUUGGGCUACACGCGCGCUACAAAGGGCGGGACAAUGGGUUCCGACGCCGAGAGGCGGAGGCAAUCCCGAAACCCGUCCGUAGUUCGGAUUGAGGGUUGUAACUCACCCUCAUGAAGCUGGAUUCCGUAGUAAUCGCGAAUCAACAACUCGCGGUGAAUAUGCCCCUGCUCCUUGCACACACCG